GCCGGAGUGGUGAAACUGGUAGACGCAGCGGACUCAAAAUCCGCCGGGAGCAAUCCCGUGUCGGUUCGAUUCCGACCUCCGGCA
rnacentral:tRNA from 1 species